UGAGUAACACGUGGGUGAUCUGCCCUGCACUUCGGGAUAAGCCUGGGAAACUGGGUCUAAUACCGGAUAGGACCACGGGAUGCAUGUCCUGUGGUGGAAAGCUUUUGCGGUGUGGGAUGGGCCCGCGGCCUAUCAGCUUGUUGGUGGGGUGACGGCCUACCAAGGCGACGACGGGUAGCCGGCCUGAGAGGGUGUCCGGCCACACUGGGACUGAGAUACGGCCCAGACUCCUACGGGAGGCAGCAGUGGGGAAUAUUGCACAAUGGGCGCAAGCCUGAUGCAGCGACGCCGCGUGGGGGAUGACGGCCUUCGGGUUGUAAACCUCUUUCACCAUCGACGAAGGUCCGGGUUUUCUCGGAUUGACGGUAGGUGGAGAAGAAGCACCGGCCAACUACGUGCCAGCAGCCGCGGUAAUACGUAGGGUGCGAGCGUUGUCCGGAAUUACUGGGCGUAAAGAGCUCGUAGGUGGUUUGUCGCGUUGUUCGUGAAAUCUCACGGCUUAACUGUGAGCGUGCGGGCGAUACGGGCAGACUGGAGUACUGCAGGGGAGACUGGAAUUCCUGGUGUAGCGGUGGAAUGCGCAGAUAUCAGGAGGAACACCGGUGGCGAAGGCGGGUCUCUGGGCAGUAACUGACGCUGAGGAGCGAAAGCGUGGGGAGCGAACAGGAUUAGAUACCCUGGUAGUCCACGCCGUAAACGGUGGGUACUAGGUGUGGGUUUCCUUCCUUGGGAUCCGUGCCGUAGCUAACGCAUUAAGUACCCCGCCUGGGGGAGUACGGCCGCAAGGCUAAAACUCAAAGGAAUUGACGGGGGGCCCGCACAA
rnacentral:rRNA from 1 species